rnacentral:rRNA from 1 species
UGGGGAAUAUUGCACAAUGGGCGCAAGCCUGAUGCAGCCAUGCCGCGUGUAUGAAGAAGGCCUUCGGGUUGUAAAGUACUUUCAGCGGGGAGGAAGGGAGUAAAGUUAAUACCUUUGCUCAUUGACGUUACCCGCAGAAGAAGCACCGGCUAACUCCGUGCCAGCAGCCGCGGUAAUACGGAGGGUGCAAGCGUUAAUCGGAAUUACUGGGCGUAGAGCGCACGCAGGCGGUUUGUUAAGUCAGAUGUGAAAUCCCCGGGCUCAACCUGGGAACUGCAUCUGAUACUGGCAAGCUUGAGUCUCGUAGAGGGGGGUAGAAUUCCAGGUGUAGCGGUGAAAUGCGUAGAGAUCUGGAGGAAUACCGGUGGCGAAGGCGGCCCCCUGGACGAAGACUGACGCUCAGGUGCGAAAGCGUGGGGAGCAAACAGG